ensembl:lncRNA
GCUUAGGCCCAGCACUGAGAGUCCACUGGCUCACGCAAUCUUCCAGUAGCUGAGGUUGGUUCCCUGACCGAGAAUCAAACCUGGGCCACGGCGGAUGCUAGUCACUAGUCCACCAGGGAACCUCCAGAAGCACCUCAUUACAGAAGGAUAAAAGAACCACAGAGCCUUGAAAGGGAUGCGGUCUGGAAAUUUCGCACAUCCUGAGUGAAACUGGGGAGAAUAUUUUCAUGACUUCUUUGACUUACUGACUAAGCUUCAUGGACCCAUGGGGUUCCCCAGCCUUCACUCUGAGAAAGACUGAGCUACACUUUCAGUUAAUCAGGAGCAGAAAAGCAACCAGUUGCAGAGGUGAACUACCUCUUCACAUACUGUACAUUUCAUGUUUUUUUUGUUUUGUUUUGGUUUUUUUUACAUAUGAUGAUGUGAAUAAUAUGUGAUCUCACAUGUCAAAAUAUGUGAAGGUGCAUUUCACUAUAUUAUUGCCAUGAAAUUGCACAUAUGAAUUUGCAUGAAUUUAUACUGUAUGUUAAUAAUGUGGGAAUAUAAAACCAUAUGUGGGAAACCUAAUGUGCAAAUGAAUAAAUCAUAUGAAAAAUCACAUGUGGAAAAAUAAAAUCAUAUGCCCUAUGUAAGGAAAAAUUUACGUGAAAAAAUCAUGCAUUGCGCAGUGUAAAACAUGAUAGCCCCAUUAUGUGAACUUAUUUCUUCUCUUUAACUCCAAUUGUCAUGAGCAUUUUUAGAUAUUGAACUCAAGUUUAUGCGUUUUCAAAAAUUAAAAUUAAAGUAAUCCGUUGUUUUGACUUGGAAAAAUUGUAAAAUGUAACUUUUUGAGUUGAAACAUAGGUUAUCUUCAGGUUGAGUUUACUCACAUUUUUAAAGCAGCAG